rnacentral:rRNA from 1 species
AACUAACGCUGGCGGCGCGUCUUAAACAUGCAAGUCGAACGGUAGCCUUUGAGCUUGCUUAGAGGUGAGAGUGGCGAACGGGUGAGUAACACGUGGAUAAUCUGCCUCCGGGUUGGGGAUAACGUUUCGAAAGGAACGCUAAUACCGAAUAAGAUGGUGGUUACAUAUGUAGCAGCCAUUAAAGGUGGGGACCGCAAGGCCUACCGCCUGGAGAUGAGUCCGCGGCUGAUUAGCUAGUUGGUGGGGUAAAGGCCUACCAAGGCGACGAUCAGUAGCCGGCCUGAGAGGGUGAACGGCCACAUUGGGACUGAGAUACGGCCCAGACUCCUACGGGAGGCAGCAGUUAAGAAUCUUGCACAAUGGGCGCAAGCCUGAUGCAGCGACGCCGCGUGAAUGAUGAAGGCC